GCCCCUAUAGCUUAAUUGGAAGAGCACAGGCCUGCAAAGCCUUGAGGUCCAGAUUCGAGUUCUGGUGGGGGCUC
rnacentral:tRNA from 1 species